rnacentral:rRNA from 1 species
UACGAAGGGGGCUAGCGUUGUUCGGAUUUACUGGGCGUAAAGCGCACGUAGGCGGAUCGUUAAGUCGGGGGUGAAAUCCUGGAGCUCAACUCCAGAACUGCCUUCGAUACUGGCGAUCUCGAGUCCGGAAGAGGUGAGUGGAACUCCUAGUGUAGAGGUGGAAUUCGUAGAUAUUAGGAAGAACACCAGUGGCGAAGGCGAACUCACUGGUCCGGUACUGACGCUGAGGUGCGAAAGCGUGGGGAGCAAACAGG